CCCCGGGGGUUUUUUGGGGGGGAGGGGCCCCGGGGGGGGUCCCCGAGUCCCGUGUGAAACGUGAACAAUAAAAAUUCCAUCUCCGUCAGGGGCCGGGAAUGCCGGGAAUGCCGCCGGGAAAAUUCGGGAAUUCUGGGGAAUUCUGGGAAAUUCUGGGAAUGCCGGGAAAUUCCGGGAAAUUCGGGAAAUUCUGGGAAAUUCGGGGAAUUCUGGGAAAUUCGGGGAAUGCCGGGAAAUUCGGGGAUUCUGGGAAAUUCUGGGAAAUUCGGGAAUUCUGGGAAUGCCAGGAAAUUCCGGGAAUUCCGGGGAAUUCUGGGAAAUUCGGGAAAUUCUGGGAAAUUCCGGGAAUGCCGGGAAAUUCGGGAAAUUCGGGAAUUCCGGGAAUUUGGGGAAUUUCCGGGGAAUUCUGGGAAAUUCCGGGAAAUUCGGGGAAUUCCGGGAAUGCCGGGAAUUCUGGGAAUUCCGGGAAUUCUGGGGAAUUCUGGGAAAUUCCGGGAAUGCCGGGAAAUUCCGGGAAAUUCGGGAAUUCUGGGAAAUCAGGGAAAUUCCGGGAAUGCCGGGAAUGCCGGGAAAUUCCGGGAAUGCCGGGAAAUUCUGGGAAUUCUGGGAAAUUCGGGAAAUUCGGGAAAUUCUGGGAAAUUCGGGAAUGCCGGGAAUGCCGGGAAUUUGGGGAAUGCCGGGAAAUUCCGGGAAUGCCGGGAAAUGCGGGAAAUUGCGGGAAAUUCGGGAAAUGCGGGAAAUUGCGGGAAAUUCGGGAAAUUCGGGGAAAUUCGGGAAUUCGGGGAAAUGCCGGAAUUCCGGGAAAUCCGGGAAAUUUGGGAAUUGGGGAAUUUGGGGAAUUCAGGAAUUUUGGGAAUUCAGGGAAUUCGGGAAUUUCGGGAAAUUGGGGAAUUCGGGAAUUUUGGGAAUUCCAGGAAUUCCGGGAAUUUUGGGAAUUCUGGGAAUUUCAGGAAAUGCGUGAAUUGGGGAAUUUCGGGAAAUUCGGGAAUUUUGGGAAUUCCGGGAAUUUUGGGAAUUUCAGGAAAUGCGGGAAAUUCGGGAAUUUUGGGAAUUUGGGGAAUGAGGGAAUUUGGGAGUUUGGGGAAUUCGGGAAUUCAGAAAUUUGGGAAUUUUGGGAGUUUGGGAUUUUGGGAUGUUGGGAAUUUGGGGAAUUUUGGGAAUUCGGGAAUUUGGGGAAUCCAGGAAUUCGGGAAUGGGGGAAUUUGGGAUUUUGGGAGU
rnacentral:lncRNA from 1 species